rnacentral:rRNA from 1 species
GUGAGGAAUAUUGCGCAAUGGAGGCAACUCUGACGCAGCCAUGCCGCGUGCAGGAAGAAGGCGCUACGCGUUGUAAACUGCUUUUAACCGGGAAGAAACCCCAGGACGUGUCCUGGGUUGACGGUACCGGAGGAAUAAGCACCGGCUAACUUCGUGCCAGCAGCCGCGGUAAUACGAAGGGUGCAAGCGUUAUCCGGAUUCAUUGGGUUUAAAGGGUGCGUAGGCGGAGCGUUAAGUCAGUGGUGAAAUCCUGCAGCUUAACUGUAGACUUGCCAUUGAUACUGGCGCUCUUGAGUGCGCUUGAAGUGGGCGGAAUGUGCCGUGUAGCGGUGAAAUGCUUAGAUAUGGUACAGAACACCAAUUGCGAAGGCAGCUCACUAAGGCGAUACUGACGCUGAGGCACGAAAGCGUGGGGAUCGAACAGGAUUAGAAACCCUGGUAGUCC